UUGACGCUGGCGGCGGCUUAACACAUGCAAGUCGAGCGGAGAGAGGUAGCUUGCUACUGAUCUUANCGGCGGACGGGUGAGUAAUGCUUAGGAAUCUGCCUAUUAGUGGGGGACAACAUUUCGAAAGGAAUGCUAAUACCGCAUACGUCCUACGGGAGAAAGCAGGGGAUCUUCGGACCUUGCGCUANUAGAUGAGCCUAAGUCGGAUUAGCUAGUUGGUGGGGUAAAGGCCUACCAAGGCGACGAUCUGUANCGGGUCUGAGAGGAUGAUCCGCCACACUGGGACUGAGACACGGACCAGACUCCUACGGGAGGCAGCAGUGGGGAAUAUUGGACAAUGGGCGCAAGCCUGAUCCAGCCAUGCCGCGUGUGUGAAGAAGGCCUUAUGGUUGUAAAGCACUUUAA
rnacentral:rRNA from 1 species